rnacentral:rRNA from 1 species
AUUGAACGCUGGCGGCAGGCCUAACACAUGCAAGUCGAGCGAGCGGCGGACGGGUGAGUAAUGUAUGGGGACUGCCCGAUAGAGGGGGAUAAAUACUGGAAACGGUGGCUAAUACCGCAUAUUGUCGGAUAACCCAUAUGGGUUUCGCUAGUAGGUAGGGUAAUGGCUUACCUAGGCGACGAUCCCUAGCUGGUCUGAGAGGAUGAUCAGCAACACUGGGACUGAGACACGGCCCAGACUCCUACGGAGGCGGCAGAGGGGAAUAUUGCACAAUGGGCGCAAGCCGAAUGCAGCAAGGCCGCGUGUAGGAAGAAGGCCCUGGGGGUGUAAAGUACUUUCAGUGGGGAGGCGGUACCGACAGAAGAAGCACCGGCUAACUCCGUGCCAGCGGCCGCGGUAAUAC